AGGAAGUGGCGCUUACAUUUCUGGUUUGCCGUGGUCAACCCUGGUCAACCCUGGCAAAUUGUGGCCUCAAGUACUUGUUUGGGGAUUGAACAAUGGCUACUGUCAGAAACUCCUAUGACUUUCACACGACCUGCCAAUCACAGACAACUCACUUUUGAAGAAAUUGCCAAAAGUGCUAAAAUCACAGUGAAUGAGGUGGAGCUCCUGGUGAUGAAGGCCCUUUCGGUGGGGCUGGUGAAAGGCAGUAUAGAUGAGGUGGACAAACGAGUCCACAUGACCUGGGUGCAGCCCCGAGUGUUGGAUUUGCAACAGAUCAAGGGAAUGAAGGACCGCCUGGAGUUCUGGUGCACGGAUGUGAAGAGCAUGGAGAUGCUGGUGGAGCACCAGGCCCAUGACAUCCUCACCUAGGGCCCCCUGGUUCCCCGUCGUGUCUCCUUUGACUCACCUGAGAGAGGCAUUUGCAGCCGAUCAAGCUGGCUGCUCAGACGGUCGACAUUGAAUUUGGGUGGGGGUUGGGAUCCUGUCUGAAGUACAGACUGUUCUUGCUCUAAAAACAGGACUGUCCCUGAUGGGGGCCAGGCCACAGGGAGGAGGCUUCUUUGUGGGUCUCUCCUGCAGAGGGUGGGGGUCUCACGGUCUUAGGUGAUAAGGGA
rnacentral:sRNA from 1 species